GGCCGUUUGGCGGAAUGGUAGACGCAAGCGACUCAAAAUCGCUCGCCUGAAAGGGUGUCUCGGUUCGAGUCCGAGAACGGCCA
rnacentral:tRNA from 1 species